AGCGAACGCUGGCGGCAGGCCUAACACAUGCAAGUCGAACGAACUCUUCGGAGUUAGUGGCGGACGGGUGAGUAACACGUGGGAACGUGCCUUUAGGUUCGGAAUAACUCAGGGAAACUUGUGCUAAUACCGAAUGUGCCCUUCGGGGGAAAGAUUUAUCGCCUUUAGAGCGGCCCGCGUCUGAUUAGCUUGUUGGUGGGGUAAUGGCACACCAAGGCGACGAUCAGUAGCUGGUCUGAGAGGAUGACCAGCCACAUUGGGACUGAGACACGGCCCAAACUCCUACGGGGGGCAGCAGUGGGGAAUCUUGCGCAAUGGGCGAAAGCCUGACGCAGCCAUGCCGCGUGGAUGAUGAAGGUCUUAGGAUUGUAAAAUCCUUUCACCGGUGAAGAUAAUGACUGUAGCCGGAGAAGAAGCCCCGGCUAACUUCGUGCCAGCAGCCGCCGUAA
rnacentral:rRNA from 1 species